rnacentral:rRNA from 1 species
UACGGAGGGGGCGAGCGUUAUUCGGACUUAUUGGGCGUAAAGGGCGCGUAGGCGGCUUGAUGUGUCAAAGGUGAAAUCCCUCGGCUCAACUGAGGAACUGCCUUUGAAACUGUCUGGCUUGAGGCCGGGAGAGGGUAGCGGAAUUCCCAGUGUAGCGGUGAAAUGCGUAGAUACUGGGAGGAACACCGGUGGCGAAGGCGGCUACCUGGACCGGUUCUGACGCUGAUGCGCGAAAGCGUGGGUAGCAAACAGG